rnacentral:lncRNA from 1 species
UUUAGUUUAAUGACCCAUUUCAUUAUUAAAGUUAACAAUUUUGUUUUGUUAUGAUAAAAUAGUCAAUAUAUUUACCCAGAUGCGUGUGUCUCUGAUAAUACAAUUUGUUUCUACCAGCACAAUAUUGAAAUUCUCUGUCGAUUUUGACUAUCGAUACAGAGGAAUUAUUUAAUAUUUAUAUAGAUAAAUACCUCCAAAG